ACUCAAAUGAAUUGACGGGGGCUCGCACAAGCGGUGGAUCAUGUGGCUUAAUUCGUAGCUAAGCGAAGAACCUUACCCAGAUUAGAAACUAUACUGCACGCCUCGGGAAACCGAGGAAGCCUUCGAGGGUGUAUAGCAGGUGAUGCAUGGCCGUCGUCAGUUCGUGGCUUGAGCUGUUCCCUUAAGUGGGGAAACGAACGCAACCCUCGUUGCCUGUUACAAGUGUCAGGCGAGACUGCUCCCUCACGGGAGAGGAAGGUGAGGAUGACGCCAGGUCAGCAUGUCCCUUGAUAUCUGGGGCUGCACACGUGAUACAAUGGGUGGUACAACGGGACGCAAUAUCGUAAGAUGGAGCAAAUCCUUAUAAAACCAUCCUCAGUUCGGAUUGAGGUCUGCAACUCGACCUCAUGAAGUCGGAAUCGCUAGUAAUCGUGAAUCAGCAACGUCACGGUGAAUACGUUCCCGAGCCUUGUACACACCGCCCGU
rnacentral:rRNA from 1 species